rnacentral:rRNA from 1 species
CGCCUGUUUAACAAAAACAUUUCUUUUUGGUUAUUUAAAAAGUACCUUCUGCCCUAUGAUGAUUUAUUAAAUGGCUGCAGUAUUUUGACUGUGCAAAGGUAGCAUAGUAAUUAGCUUCUUAAUUAGAAGCUUGUAUGAAUGGAUGUAUGAGAGGGAUAUUUUAUUAGUUUUAUUAUUAAAAAUUUAAUUUUGAGUUAAAAUGCUCCAGCUAUAUCCUGGGCCGAUAAGCCCUGUAGAACUUUACCUAAAAAAUGUUUAUAAAUUUUUAAUAUAAUAUUAUAUUAAUAUGUUUUUUUGUUUUGCUGGGGUGGUUAAUAAAAUCAAACUUUAUUUAUAUAAAUCAUUAUUUUUGUUUAUUUUGAUCUUUGUUAGGAAUUAUAAGAAUAAGUUACCUUAGGGAUAACAGCGUAAUUUUAAUGGAAAGUUCAUAUUUAUAUUAAGGUUUGCGACCUCGAUGUUGAAUUAAGAUUAAUUAAAGAAGCAGUUUUCUUUAUUUUAGGUCUGUUCGACCUUUAAAUUCUUACCUUGAUCUGAGUUCAGACCGG